AGAGUUUGAUCCUGGCUCAGGACGAACGCUGGCGGCGUGCUUAACACAUGCAAGUCGAACGGAAAGGCCCUGCUUUUGUGGGGUGCUCGAGUGGCGAACGGGUGAGUAACACGUGAGUAACCUGCCCUUGACUUUGGGAUAACUUCAGGAAACUGGGGCUAAUACCGGAUAGGAGCUCCUGCUGCAUGGUGGGGGUUGGAAAGUUUCGGCGGUUGGGGAUGGACUCGCGGCUUAUCAGCUUGUUGGUGGGGUAGUGGCUUACCAAGGCUUUGACGGGUAGCCGGCCUGAGAGGGUGACCGGCCACAUUGGGACUGAGAUACGGCCCAGACUCCUACGGGAGGCAGCAGUGGGGAAUAUUGCACAAUGGGCGGAAGCCUGAUGCAGCAACGCCGCGUGCGGGAUGACGGCCUUCGGGUUGUAAACCGCUUUCGCCUGUGACGAAGCGUGAGUGACGGUAAUGGGUAAAGAAGCACCGGCUAACUACGUGCCAGCAGCCGCGGUGAUACGUAGGGUGCGAGCGUUGUCCGGAUUUAUUGGGCGUAAAGGGCUCGUAGGUGGUUGAUCGCGUCGGAAGUGUAAUCUUGGGGCUUAACCCUGAGCGUGCUUUCGAUACGGGUUGACUUGAGGAAGGUAGGGGAGAAUGGAAUUCCUGGUGGAGCGGUGGAAUGCGCAGAUAUCAGGAGGAACACCAGUGGCGAAGGCGGUUCUCUGGGCCUUUCCUGACGCUGAGGAGCGAAAGCGUGGGGAGCGAACAGGCUUAGAUACCCUGGUAGUCCACGCUGUAAACGGUGGGUACUAGGUGUGGGGUCCAUUCCACGGGUUCCGUGCCGUAGCUAACGCUUUAAGUACCCCGCCUGGGGAGUACGGCCGCAAGGCUAAAACUCAAAGGAAUUGACGGGGCCCCGCACAAGCGGCGGAGCAUGCGGAUUAAUUCGAUGCAACGCGUAGAACCUUACCUGGGUUUGACAUGGAUCGGGAGUGCUCAGAGAUGGGUGUGCCUCUUUUGGGGUCGGUUCACAGGUGGUGCAUGGCUGUCGUCAGCUCGUGUCGUGAGAUGUUGGGUUAAGUCCCGCAACGAGCGCAACCC
rnacentral:rRNA from 3 species